rnacentral:rRNA from 1 species
AGUGAACGCUGGCGGUAGGCCUAACACAUGCAAGUCGAACGGCAGCACAGUAAGAGCUUGCUCUACGGGUGGGGAGGGGGGGAAGGGUGAGGAAAAAAAUGGAAUCCAACUUUUCGGGGGGGAUAAAGGAGGGAAAAGUACGGCAAUAACGGAAUAGACCUAAGGGGGAAAGGAGGGGGUUCUCGGACCUUUGGCGGAUGAAUGAGGCGAUGUCGGAUUAGCUAGUUGGCGGGGGAAAGGCCCACCAAGGCGACGAUCCGUAGCUGGUCUGAGAGGAUGAUCAGCCACACUGGAACUGAGACACGGUCCAGACUCCUACGGGAGGCAGCAGUGGGGAAUAUUGGACAAUGGGCGCAAGCCUGAUCCAGCCAUACCGCGUGGGUGAAGAAGGCCUUCGGGUUGUAAAGCCCUUUUGUUGGGAAAGAAAAGCAGCAGGUUAAUACCCCGCUGUUCUGACGGUACCCAAAGAAUAAGCACCGGCUAACUUCGUG